rnacentral:rRNA from 1 species
CGGACGGGUGAGUAACGCGUGAGUAACCUGCCUUACACAAGGGGAUAGCCGUUGGAAACGACGAAUAAUACCCUAUGAAACUAUCACUUCGCAUGAAGCGAUAGUCAAAGUGUUAGCGGUGUAAGAUGGACUUGCGUCUGAUUAGCUAGUUGGUGAGAAAAAGCCCACCAAGGCAACGAUCAGUAGCCGGCUUGAGAGAGUGUACGGCCACAUUGGAACUGAGACACGGCCAG